rnacentral:lncRNA from 1 species
ACAAUUUAUCCAUUUUUUUUAUCACAAUUACUUAAUAAUUGGUCACAACUACUCUUUAUUCGACCUAUUCCGCCACUUCCACCAAUCCCACCACACCAUCUCCAUCGACAUCAGCACCCCAGUUUCCAAAUUGCUUUUCUUCCUAUUCUUUCCAUCUCACCACCACCUCCAUCAUCACUACCACCUCAAUCACAACUAAAAAGAUUUGUAAAUAUUUCUUGAGAUAUAAAUGAUAUGAAGUAGAGAUAAAGAGUAAAAACCAUCGAAAGUUAAAAACUAAACUAUUGAGAACUUAACAGUGUAUUUAAUUGCAAGCAUGAAAUUUAUAUGGAAAGAAAAUAAAUUCUAGUUAAAUCAUCAUUCACCAACAUUUAUCUCUAAUUACUACUUGUUUUCUUAGAAAUAAAGGGUUACUGACUGUUUACCCACUUUAAAAAAAAUAUCCAUCCAGCUAGGCAAAAAAAGUCCACAUGUCCGAUGGAAAUCAUAUGUGGCCACAAACGCUUUUAAGAAAUGACAUUGCAUUAGAGUAAUGCUAUACAACUCCACUAGGGUUGCAAUCUCAGUUUAGGUUAUGCUAAAUAAUCGGUUAAAUAAUAGGUAGCAUUGCAUAAGUCAUUUAAUUUCACUUAUCAUUUAAUGCCACAUUAACGCCAUUUGGACUGGGGUUGCAACCCCAAUUAGACUAAAUAGCAUUGCUCUUUGCAUUAAUAGUGCUUUAUCUCUAUAAAUGGAAUAAUCAAUUUUGUAAAUUCUCCAGCCCUUCUUCAUAAGAAUUUGUUCUAUGUAAUAUUUCUCUUAUUGGCCUAAGCACCGAAGGCAUCCAUCAGAGUUUAAGUCGACCCGCUUCCCCAAAACAUAUUUUCUCCAAGCUUAAAUUCACAUUCUGCAAAUGAGUACAAUAGUUGCCAGUCUUAUUUUCUCUGUCCAGCCAACCAUUUUGCUUAGUUUUCCAAUUAAGUGUCCCAAGUCAAAGGAAAUCUCAUCUUUGGUGCUCUCAAUUGUGUUCGUACAAGAAUUGUAUGGUCUCUCCGAUGCAAUUCCAGCAUAGACUUUUUGACAUCUUGUUCACAAGAUUUCUUCCCCAAUUCAAAACCAUAUGAAUUUCUUCCCUAAUUCAAAACCACAUCAAUUUCUUUUCCCAAAUCAUUUUUAUCCUCCAAAUCAAUAUUAUCACAAAAACAUAUCUCCGAAUCACCCAAAAGCACCCUCUAAUUGAAACGAGCUUCAAAGAAAAUUCAGAAAUUUAGGUCUUUUAGUUAGCAGGAUGUUGUUUGUUAUUUGAAUUGUAGGAAAAGGUAAUGGGUAGGUAUGGUGUUUUGAACAUGUUGUUGGUAGGUUCUUACUGAUGUUUUGGUAGUUGUAUGUUGGUGAUAAUGUAGUAAUGGUGAUGGUGUUGCUGGUCCUGUG